CCGAGUGUCGAGGAAGCUCCAGGUCUGACCACCACCUCUGCUUCGCAAACAACUGUGUGACACCUGUGACUGAUUACCAGUCUUUCUACCCUCGCAGCCCGGCCUUCAACUAGGCGACAAGUGCCUCCAUGAGAGGCUCUUGAUGCAAGGAAUUGAAGCCGUCCUUUCCUUUGACUGACCUUGAAUGUUAUGCCCUUCCCCAGGCGCUACAUGACCUUGCGGUUGUCUUGGUCAGACAUGUGGAUGAUCGCUCUACGCGGCACAUAACCGCCGCUCAUGGCUAAAUGUUAUUUCAAACAUGCCGUAGAAAUAUAAAAAUAAUCGGAGCCCGUGUCUACGAUCAGAUCGACUGAUGGAUCAGUGUAAUAGAAAGAAAUGGAAAUGAAGAGCACAAGCAAAUUCAACCGGUUUUUUCGUGUUCCUGCGCAUCUUACAUUGUCUUUUCUCGAAAAGUAGCUCUGAUUUGCCAUGUGAAAAAUCCAGAACUACACCAUAGCGACCUAGCGUCUGAAUGUCCAAAUAAACAACGGGCUCUUCUGCGCUGGAAGUAAUUAUCAAACUCGGGUGGGAGCACUAAGUCGUCGAUAUAGAUUUAUUAACUAUUCUCAAAUUUCACGAUAAUAUCUUUUACCAAACCAACCUCGAUAUUU